CAUGCAAGUCGAGCGGCAGCGGAAAGUAGCUUGCUACUUUGCCGGCGAGCGGCGGACGGGUGAGUAAUGUCUGGGAAACUGCCUGAUGGAGGGGGAUAACUACUGGAAACGGUAGCUAAUACCGCAUAACGUCGCAAGACCAAAGAGGGGGACCUUCGGGCCUCUUGCCAUCAGAUGUGCCCAGAUGGGAUUAGCUAGUAGGUGGGGUAACGGCUCACCUAGGCGACGAUCCCUAGCUGGUCUGAGAGGAUGACCAGCCACACUGGAACUGAGACACGGUCCAGACUCCUACGGGAGGCAGCAGUGGGGAAUAUUGCACAAUGGGCGCAAGCCUGAU
rnacentral:rRNA from 1 species